rnacentral:rRNA from 1 species
CAUGGCUCAGGACGAACGCUGGCGGCGUGCUUAACACAUGCAAGUCGAACGAUGAAGCCUAGCUUGCUAGGUGGAUUAGUGGCGAACGGGUGAGUAAUACGUGAGUAACCUACCUUUAACUCUGGGAUAAGCCUGGGAAACUGGGUCUAAUACCGGAUACGACCAAUCUCCGCAUGGGGUGUUGGUGGAAAGCGUUAUGUAGUGGUUAUAGAUGGGCUCACGGCCUAUCAGCUUGUUGGUGAGGUAACGGCUCACCAAGGCGACGACGGGUAGCCGGCCUGAGAGGGUGACCGGCCACACUGGGACUGAGACACGGCCCAGACUCCUACGG